rnacentral:rRNA from 1 species
AUUGAACGCUGGCGGCAGGCCUAACACAUGCAAGUCGAGCGGAUGAAGGGAGCUUGCUCCUGGAUUCAGCGGCGGACGGGUGAGUAAUGCCUAGGAAUCUGCCUGGUAGUGGGGGAUAACGUCCGGAAACGGGCGCUAAUACCGCAUACGUCCUGAGGGAGAAAGUGGGGGAUCUUCGGACCUCACGCUAUCAGAUGAGCCUAGGUCGGAUUAGCUAGUUGGUGGGGUAAAGGCCUACCAAGGCGACGAUCCGUAACUGGUCUGAGAGGAUGAUCAGUCACACUGGAACUGAGACACGGUCCAGACUCCUACGGGAGGCAGCAGUGGGGAAUAUUGGACAAUGGGCGAAAGCCUGAUCCAGCCAUGCCGCGUGUGUGAAGAAGGUCUUCGGAUUGUAAAGCACUUUAAGUUGGGAGGAAGGGCAGCAAGUUAAUACCUUGUUGUUUUGACGUUACCAACAGAAUAAGCACCGGCUAACUUCGUG